rnacentral:rRNA from 1 species
UGGGGAAUAUUGGACAAUGGGGGCAACCCUGAUCCAGCAAUGCCGCGUGCAGGAAGAAGGCGUUAUGCGUUGUAAACUGCUUUUGCCAGGGGAUAAAAUGACCGUGCGCGGUUAAUUGAAGGUACCUGGUGAAUAAGCCACGGCUAACUACGUGCCAGCAGCCGCGGUAAUACGUAGGUGGCAAGCGUUGUCCGGAUUUAUUGGGUUUAAAGGGUGCGUAGGUGGCCCUGUAAGUCAGUGGUGAAAUAUCUCAGCUUAACUGAGAGGGUGCCAUUGAUACUGCAGGGCUUGAGUACAGAUGAGGUAGGCGGAAUUGACGGUGUAGCGGUGAAAUGCAUAGAUAUCGUCAAGAACACCGAUAGCGAAGGCAGCUUACCAAGCUGUAACUGACACUGAGGCACGAAAGUGUGGGGAUCAAACAGGAUUAGAUACCCAAGUAGUCCCUGAGCGGGCUGGCAAGGCGCAU